rnacentral:tRNA from 1 species
GGCGGCAUACCCAAGUGGCUUAAGGGGACGGUCUGCAAAACCGUUAUGCAUCGGUUCGAAUCCGAUUGCCGCCUCCA